AAGAAAGGUGGCAGUGAAACAGAGACUGAUGUCACAAAAGAGUGCGGUGACUUUGGAUCCUCCUGAUAACAGGGCUUGCAUGCAGGCAGCGACAUGCACAUCCCAACAUUUAUUUGGAAAGCAGAGCUACGGAGGCAAAUGAGUGCAUCUGGCCCACAGAGGUCUUGGUGGGGGAGGGGCACAAAGCACAAGUGGAAGUGGAGGAUUUAGUCCAUCUGAAUUCCUGGAGCUGUUUACUACAGGGUCAUCCAUCUGUCUCCUGCUGCAGUUUCCAUGACAAGAAGAUUUCCGAGGCAGAGGCAUCCUGAAGGUUCUCUGCGUGUUCUGAAAUGCCUACCUGAGCCUCCAGAGCCGCCUGCCUUCCUGUAGGAACCAGCCUGCAGGGCAGCUGCCUUCAGGGUCAGUAUGUUUCUGUCUUAAGCAAUAUUUUUUCUUUCAAUAAACCGCACAUUCCAGACACAAAAAAUAAAAACAUAUAUUCACAGUUGAAUAUAUA
rnacentral:lncRNA from 1 species